GCUCUAUGGUCAGUUGUCAUGUCAUGAUCAUUUGAAUUUGAGAAAAGGUAUGAUAUUAUUAGAUUAGAUCAGGAUGGACAAGGAGACCUCAGAUCGAUCGAUAGCAUAGCUAGUAGGGGUGUCUCUCUAAUACUGAAAACUAGGAUCAGUAGUCGAAGUCAAGAUUAACGGUCAAAGUCAUGAGGCUGAUAGUAUAACC
rnacentral:lncRNA from 1 species